CAGUAGCCGCGGGAAUACGUAGGGUGCGAGCGUUAAUCGGAAUUACUGGGCGUGAAGCGUGCGCAGGCGGUCAUAUAAGACAGAUGUGAAAUCCCCGGGCUCAACCUGGGACCUGCAUUUGUGACUGUAUAGCUAGAGUACGGUAGAGGGGGAUGGAAUUCCGCGUGUAGCAGUGAAAUGCGUAGAUAUGCGGAGGAACACCGAUGGCGAAGGCAAUCCCCUGGACCUAUACUGACGCUGAGGUGCGAAAGCGUGGGGAGCAAACAGGAUUAGAUACCCCAGUAGUCCCUGUCUCUUAUAC
rnacentral:rRNA from 1 species